rnacentral:rRNA from 1 species
AGCGAACGCUGGCGGCAGGCUUAACACAUGCAAGUCGAGCGGGCAUAGCAAUAUGUCAGCGGCAGACGGGUGAGUAACGCGUGGGAGCGUACCUUUUGGUUCGGAACAACACAGGGAAACUUGUGCUAAUACCGGAUAAGCCCUUACGGGGAAAGAUUUAUCGCCGAAAGAUCGGCCCGCGUCUGAUUAGCUAGUUGGUGAGGUAAUGGCUCACCAAGGCGACGAUCAGUAGCUGGUCUGAGAGGAUGAUCAGCCACAUUGGGACUGAGACACGGCCCAAACUCCUACGGGAGGCAGCAGUGGGGAAUAUUGGACAAUGGGCGCAAGCCUGAUCCAGCCAUGCCGCGUGAGUGAUGAAGGCCCUAGGGUUGUAAAGCUCUUCUGUGCGGGAAGAUAAUGACGGUACCGCAAGAAUAAGCCCCGGCUAACUUCGUGCCAGCCGCCGCGGUAA